rnacentral:rRNA from 1 species
AUGUUCCGACCUGCACGAAUGGCGUAACGACUUCCCCGCUGUCUCCAGCAUCGACUCAGUGAAAUUGAAUUCCCCGUGAAGAUGCGGGGUUCCUGCGGUCAGACGGAAAGACCCCGUGCACCUUUACUAUAGCUUUGCAGUGGCAUUAGUGUCGGCAUGUGUAGCAUAGGUGGUAGGCUUUGAAGCGGAGGCGCCAGUCUUCGUGGAGCCGCAAUGUGAAAUACCACCCUUAUCUACAUUGAUGUCUAACCGCGGACCGUUAUCCGGUUCCGGGACCCUGCAUGGUGGGUAGUUUGACUGGGGCGGUCGCCUCCCAAAGAGUAACGGAGGCGCGCGAUGGUAGGCUCAGGCCGGUCGGAAAUCGGUCGUUGAGUGCAAUGGCAAAAGCCUGCCUGACUGCGAGUCUGACAAGACGAGCAGAGACGAAAGUCGGUCAUAGUGAUCCGGUGGUCCCUCGUGGAAGGGCCAUCGCUCAACGGAUAAAAGGUACGCCGGGGAUAACAGGCUGAUACUGC